rnacentral:rRNA from 1 species
UACGUAGGGGGCAAGCGUUGUCCGGAAUCAUUGGGCGUAAAGCGCGUGUAGGCGGCUCGAUAAGUCUGCUGUGAAAGUUCAGGGCUCAACCCUGAAAUGCCGGUGGAAACUGUCGGGCUAGAGUCCGGAAGAGGCGAGUGGAAUUCCUGGUGUGGCGGUGAAAUGCGCAGAUAUCAGGAGGAACACCAAUGGCGAAGGCAGCUCGCUGGGACGGUACUGACGCUGAGACGCGAAAGCGUGGGGAGCAAACAGG